UCUCCGUAGGUGAACCUGCGGAGGGAUCAUUACCGAGUGAGGGUCCUCGCGGCCCGACCUCCAACCCCCUGUAUUCCGACUCUGUUGCCUCGGGGGCUACCCGGCCUUCGGGCAUCGGGGCCCCCGGUGGUCCACACCUCAACUCUUGCAUCUGUGCGUCUGAGUAACAUAUUGAAUCAAUCAAAACUUUCAACAACGAAUCUCUUGGUUCUGGCAUCGAUGAAGAACGCAGC
rnacentral:misc_RNA from 1 species